UACGUAGGGGGCAAGCGUUGUCCGGAUUUACUGGGCGUAAAGAGCGCGUAGGCGGAAACGCCAGUCCGGCUUGAAAGCCCCCGGCUCAACCGGGGAGAGUGGCUGGAAACUGCGUUUCUUGAGGGCGAGAGAGGAGGGUGGAAUUCCUGGUGUAGCGGUGAAAUGCGCAGAUAUCAGGAGGAACACCGGCGGCGAAGGCGGGUCUCUGGGCCGUAACUGACGCUGAGGAGCGAAAGCGUGGGGAGCGAACAGG
rnacentral:rRNA from 1 species